AGCCCUAUGGGGCGCAGCAGGCGAGAACCUUUGCAAUGUGCGAAAGCACGACAAGGUUAAUCCGAGUGUCUCCUGCUAAAGGAGUCUCUUGUCAGUUGUAGAAUCACUGGUGAAUAAGGGGUGGGCAAGUUCUGGUGUCAGCCGCCGCGGUAAAACCAGCACCUCGAGUGGUCAGGAGGUUUAUUGGGCCUAAAGCAUCCGUAGCCGGUUGCAUAAGUUUUCGGUUAAAUCUAUGCGCUUAACGUAUAGGCCGCCGAAAAUACUGUGCAGCUAGGGAGUGGGAGAGGUACACGGUACUCGAUAGGAAGGGGUAAAAUCCUUUGAUCUAUUGAAGACCACCUGUGACGAAGGCGGUGUACCAGAACACGUUCGACGGUGAGGGAUGAAAGCUGGGGGAGCAAACCGGAUUAGAUACCCGGGUAGUCCCAGCUGUAAACGAUGCAGACUCGGUGAUGCAUUGGCUUGUGGCCAAUGCAGUGCCGCAGGGAAGCCGUUAAGUCUGCCGCCUGGGAAGUACGUACGCAAGUAUGAAACUUAAAGGAUUGGCGGGGGAGCACCACAAGGGGUGAAGCCUCGGUUCAAUUGGAUC
rnacentral:rRNA from 1 species